AUGUGGAGGACAGUGGGAUGUGUGCUAGGCACGGAUCGAUGCCCUAGCAACAUGUGGCAAUAUUUUGCUUGGUGUUAUGUUUUCCUUCCUGAUGGGGAGAAAUUCUAUACGUUUGGCCUCGCGGCUCUUUGCUGGGCCAUGUGGAAUAGUCGUAAUAAGAAAACUUUUGAAUUCAAAAAGAUGAGAUCUCCUUUUGACGUGGUAUACACUGCUUGUGGUUUUAUUUCCUACUAGGUAGGGAUGCUGAUGGGCGACGAUCGGGAGGCAAUGGAGCGCGGGUCAAAAAUGUUGAGGAGCAACGCGUCAAACAUGAUGAGGAUCUGUGCGGCACCCAACAACCCGAUGCAGAGUUGA
rnacentral:rRNA from 1 species